CAGUAGCCGCGGUAAUACGUAGGUGGCAAGCGUUGUCCGGAAUUAUUGGGCGUAAAAGGCUCGCAGGCGGUUUCUUAAGUCUGAUGUGAAAGCCCCCGGCUCAACCGGGGAGGGUCAUUGGGAACUGGGAAACUUGAGUGCAGAAGAGGAGAGUGGAAUUCCACGUGUAGCGGUGAAAUGCGUAGAGAUGUGGUGGAACACCAGUGGCGAAGGCGACUCUCUGGUCUGUAACUGACGCUGAGGAGCGAAAGCGUGGGGAGCGAACAGGAUUAGAUACCCGGGUAGUCCCUGUCUCUUAUAC
rnacentral:rRNA from 1 species